rnacentral:pre_miRNA from 1 species
UCUUCAUUUCACACACUCUCUAACCGGUCAGAGAAGCAAGAGAGCACGUGAAAUGAAGAGA